AUUGAACGCUGGCGGAAUGCUUUACACAUGCAAGUCGAGCGGCAGCGCGGGGCAACCUGGCGGCGAGCGGCGAACGGGUGAGUAAUGCAUCGGAACAUGUCCAUGUCGUGGGGGAUAGCCCGGCGAAAGCCGGAUUAAUACCGCAUACGCCCGAGAGGGGAAAGUGGGGGACCGCAAGGCCUCACGCGAUUGGGUUGGCCGAUGUCCGAUUAGCUAGUUGGCGGGGUAAAGGCCCACCAAGGCGAUGAUCGGUAGCUGGUCUGAGAGGAUGAUCAGCCACACUGGGACUGAGACACGGCCCAGACUCCUACGGGAGGCAGCAGUGGGGAAUUUUGGACAAUGGGGGAAACCCUGAUCCAGCCAUUCCGCGUGAGUGAAGAAGGCCUUCGGGUUGUAAAGCUCUUUUGUCCGGAACGAAACGGUUAGGUUGAAUACGCCUGACUACUGACGGUACCGGAAGAAUAAGCACCGGCUAACUACGUGCCAGCAGCCGCGGUAAGAC
rnacentral:rRNA from 1 species